CACUCCUGCGGGAGGCAGCAGUGGGGAAUAUUGCACAAUGGGCGCAAGCCUGAUGCAGCCAUGCCGCGUGUAUGAAGAAGGCCUUCGGGUUGUAAAGUACUUUCAGCGGGGAGGAAGGCGAUAAGGUUAAUAACCUUGUUGAUUGACGUUACCCGCAGAAGAAGCACCGGCUAACUCCGUGCCAGCAGCCGCGGUAAUACGGAGGGUGCAAGCGUUAAUCGGAAUUACUGGGCGUAAAGCGCACGCAGGCGGUCUGUCAAGUCGGAUGUGAAAUCCCCGGGCUCAACCUGGGAACUGCAUUCGAAACUGGCAGGCUAGAGUCUUGUAGAGGGGGGUAGAAUUCCAGGUGUAGCGGUGAAAUGCGUAGAGAUCUGGAGGAAUACCGGUGGCGAAGGCGGCCCCCUGGACAAAGACUGACGCUCAGGUGCGAAAGCGUGGGGAGCAAACAGGAUUAGAUACCCCAGUAGUCCC
rnacentral:rRNA from 1 species